rnacentral:rRNA from 1 species
AGUGAAAGAGGGAGGAACGCGUAACACAUGCCAGUCGAGCGGAUGAAGGGAGCUUGCUCCUGGAUUCAGCGGCGGACGGGUGAGUAAUGCCUAGGAAUCUGCCUGGUAGUGGGGGAUAACGUCCGGAAACGGGCGCUAAUACCGCAUACGUCCUGAGGGAGAAAGUGGGGGAUCUUCGGACCUCACGCUAUCAGAUGAGCCUAGGUCGGAUUAGCUAGUUGGUGGGGUAAAGGCCUACCAAGGCGACGAUCCGUAACUGGUCUGAGAGGAUGAUCAGUCACACUGGAACUGAGACACGGUCCAGACUCCUACGGGAGGCAGCAGUGGGGAAUAUUGGACAAUGGGCGAAAGCCUGAUCCAGCCAUGCCGCGUGUGUGAAGAAGGUCUUCGGAUUGUAAAGCACUUUAAGUUGGGAGGAAGGGCAGUAAGUUAAUACCUUGCUGUUUUGACGUUACCAACAGAAUAAGCACCGGCUAACUUCGUC